rnacentral:rRNA from 1 species
UUAAGUUAUUAAGGGCGCACGGUGGAUGCCUUGGCACUAGAAGCCGAUGAAGGACGUUACUAACGACGAUAUGCUUUGGGGAGCUGUAAGUAAGCUUUGAUCCAGAGAUUUCCGAAUGGGGAAACCCAACAUGAGUUAUGUCAUGUUAUCGAUAUGUGAAUACAUAGCAUAUCAGAAGGCACACCCGGAGAACUGAAACAUCUUAGUACCCGGAGGAAGAGAAAGAAAAUUCGAUUCCCUUAGUAGCGGCGAGCGAAACGGGAAGAGCCCAAACCAACAAGCUUGCUUGUUGGGGUUGUAGGACACUCUAUACGGAGUUACAAAGGACGACAUUAGACGAAUCAUCUGGAAAGAUGAAUCAAAGAAGGUAAUAAUCCUGUAGUCGAAAAUGUUGUCUCUCUUGAGUGGAUCCUGAGUACGACGGAGCACGUGAAAUUCCGUCGGAAUCUGGGAGGACCAUCUCCUAAGGCUAAAUACUCUCUAGUGACCGAUAGUGAACCAGUACCGUGAGGGAAAGGUGAAAAGCACCCCGGAAGGGGAGUGAAAUAGAACCUGAAACCGUGUGCUUACAAGUAGUCAGAGCCCGUUAAUGGGUGAUGGCGUGCCUUUUGUAGAAUGAACCGGCGAGUUACGAUUUGAUGCAAGGUUAAGCAGUAAAUGUGGAGCCGUAGCGAAAGCGAGUCUGAAUAGGGCGUUUAGUAUUUGGUCGUAGACCCGAAACCAGGUGAUCUACCCUUGGUCAGGUUGAAGUUCAGGUAACACUGAAUGGAGGACCGAACCGACUUACGUUGAAAAGUGAGCGGAUGAACUGAGGGUAGCGGAGAAAUUCCAAUCGAACCUGGAGAUAGCUGGUUCUCUCCGAAAUAGCUUUAGGGCUAGCCUCAAGUGAUGAUUAUUGGAGGUAGAGCACUGUUUGGACGAGGGGCCCCUCUCGGGUUACCGAAUUCAGACAAACUCCGAAUGCCAAUUAAUUUAACUUGGGAGUCAGAACAUGGGUGAUAAGGUCCGUGUUCGAAAGGGAAACAGCCCAGACCACCAGCUAAGGUCCCAAAAUAUAUGUUAAGUGGAAAAGGAUGUGGCGUUGCCCAGACAACUAGGAUGUUGGCUUAGAAGCAGCCAUCAUUUAAAGAGUGCGUAAUAGCUCACUAGUCGAGUGACACUGCGCCGAAAAUGUACCGGGGCUAAACAUAUUACCGAAGCUGUGGAUUGUCCUUUGGACAAUGGUAGGAGAGCGUUCUAAGGGCGUUGAAGCAUGAUCGUAAGGACAUGUGGAGCGCUUAGAAGUGAGAAUGCCGGUGUGAGUAGCGAAAGACGGGUGAGAAUCCCGUCCACCGAUUGACUAAGGUUUCCAGAGGAAGGCUCGUCCGCUCUGGGUUAGUCGGGUCCUAAGCUGAGGCCGACAGGCGUAGGCGAUGGAUAACAGGUUGAUAUUCCUGUACCACCUAUAAUCGUUUUAAUCGAUGGGGGGACGCAGUAGGAUAGGCGAAGCGUGCGAUUGGAUUGCACGUCUAAGCAGUAAGGCUGAGUAUUAGGCAAAUCCGGUACUCAUUAAGGCUGAGCUGUGAUGGGGAGAAGACAUUGNNNNNNNNNNNNNNNNNNNNNNNNNNNNNNNGUCUUCGAGUCGUUGAUUUCACACUGCCGAGAAAAGCCUCUAGAUAGAAAAUAGGUGCCCGUACCGCAAACCGACACAGGUAGUCAAGAUGAGAAUUCUAAGGUGAGCGAGCGAACUCUCGUUAAGGAACUCGGCAAAAUGACCCCGUAACUUCGGGAGAAGGGGUGCUCUUUAGGGUUAACGCCCAGAAGAGCCGCAGUGAAUAGGCCCAAGCGACUGUUUAUCAAAAACACAGGUCUCUGCUAAACCGUAAGGUGAUGUAUAGGGGCUGACGCCUGCCCGGUGCUGGAAGGUUAAGAGGAGUGGUUAGCUUCUGCGAAGCUACGAAUCGAAGCCCCAGUAAACGGCGGCCGUAACUAUAACGGUCCUAAGGUAGCGAAAUUCCUUGUCGGGUAAGUUCCGACCCGCACGAAAGGCGUAACGAUUUGGGCACUGUCUCAACGAGAGACUCGGUGAAAUCAUAGUACCUGUGAAGAUGCAGGUUACCCGCGACAGGACGGAAAGACCCCGUGGAGCUUUACUGUAGCCUGAUAUUGAAAUUCGGCACAGCUUGUACAGGAUAGGUAGGAGCCUUUGAAACGUGAGCGCUAGCUUACGUGGAGGCGCUGGUGGGAUACUACCCUAGCUGUGUUGGCUUUCUAACCCGCACCACUUAUCGUGGUGGGAGACAGUGUCAGGCGGGCAGUUUGACUGGGGCGGUCGCCUCCUAAAAGGUAACGGAGGCGCUCAAAGGUUCCCUCAGAAUGGUUGGAAAUCAUUCAUAGAGUGUAAAGGCAUAAGGGAGCUUGACUGCGAGACCUACAAGUCGAGCAGGGUCGAAAGACGGACUUAGUGAUCCGGUGGUUCCGCAUGGAAGGGCCAUCGCUCAACGGAUAAAAGCUACCCCGGGGAUAACAGGCUUAUCUCCCCCAAGAGUUCACAUCGACGGGGAGGUUUGGCACCUCGAUGUCGGCUCAUCGCAUCCUGGGGCUGUAGUCGGUCCCAAGGGUUGGGCUGUUCGCCCAUUAAAGCGGUACGCGAGCUGGGUUCAGAACGUCGUGAGACAGUUCGGUCCCUAUCCGUCGUGGGCGUAGGAAAUUUGAGAGGAGCUGUCCUUAGUACGAGAGGACCGGGAUGGACAUACCUCUGGUGUACCAGUUGUCGUGCCAACGGCAUAGCUGGGUAGCUAUGUGUGGACGGGAUAAGUGCUGAAAGCAUCUAAGCAUGAAGCCCCCCUCAAGAUGAGAUUUCCCAACUUCGGUUAUAAGAUCCCUCAAAGAUGAUGAGGUUAAUAGGUUCGAGGUGGAAGCAUGGUGACAUGUGGAGCUGACGAAUACUAAUCGAUCGAAGACUUAAUCAA